GUCGUAACAAGGUCUCCGUUGGUGAACCAGCGGAGGGAUCAUUACUGAGUUAUCUAAACUCCCAACCCUAUGUGAACCUUACCGUCGUUGCCUCGGCGGGCUGUGCUUACCCGGUAGCUACCCUGUAGCUACCCGGUAGGUACGCUGCAAGCCCGCCGGUGGACCACUAAACUCUGUUUAAUUACUGUAUCUCUGAAUGCUUCAACUUAAUAAGUUAAAACUUUCAACAACGGAUCUCUUGGUUCUGGCAUCGAUGAAGAACGCAGCGAAAUGCGAUAAGUAAUGUGAAUUGCAGAAUUCAGUGAAUCAUCGAAUCUUUGAACGCACAUUGCGCCCGCUAGUAUUCUAGCGGGCAUGCCUGUCCGAGCGUCAUUUCAACCCUUAAGCCUAGCUGCUUAGUGUUGGGAAUCUGCCCUGUACUUACAGCGCAGUUCCUUAAAGUAAUCGGCGGAGUUAGGGCAUACUCUAAGCGUAGUAAUAUUUCUUCUCGCUUCUGUAGUUGUCCUGGCGGCUUGCCGUUAAACCCCUAUAUUUCUAGUGGUUGACCUCGGAUCAGGUAGGAGUACCCGCUGAA
rnacentral:rRNA from 1 species